UGAAAUUGGAACUCCUAUAAUUGAGAAGAAGAGCUUGUAUGUAAUGUGUACAUCAACCUAACACACAUAUUUAUCAUUCUGUUGAUAUUUAAUAUGUGAGUCAUCAGAACCAAGCUGGAAUUUGACGUCAUCAGAACCAAGCUGGAAAGGUCAUGUAUCUACCUCAUUUCUUCUUAAGCAUAUGAAAAAAGCCCCUUAAAACAAAUAAACAGAUUUUAUUUCUUUGUCAGAGAAAGAGGCAGCACUCGAGCACAGGCAAGGGGAGCAGCAGGUUCCUCCUACUCCCCCACCCACCCAGCAAGGAGAAUCCGAGGAUCCUGGGAUCAUGACCUGACUGAGGGGAAGGCAGACGCUUAACCGACUGAGCCACCCAAGCGUCCCUAAAAAGAGAUUUUAGACAUGAAUUAUGGCAAACGGACUCAUGGAAAAAGUAUGCGCUUGGAGAGAAGCAAAAUCCACAUAGUCUCAAAGUAGGUGACUCUGAGAAAGCUAACCUUUUUGAGCUUCUGUUUGAACCAUGAAAUGAGGGUCAUACUGACCAUGCAUUUACGGAAUAAAUUGGAUUUGAUGACGCACGCAUCCACUGUCAACUCCAUAUCCUGAAGUGAAAUGUUUCCCACUACAGAGUCCGAGUGUCCGCAAAUAAAGGCGACGAAAGUCAGGUGGACUGACUCAGCUGGAGAAAGGAGCCGGAAAGGGGUAAAAGGGAGGACCGAGAAGCAAAGGACACGAGGCUGAAACAGUGCGGGAAGGAGAAUGGUGCCAGGAGACAUACACCAAAUCCCGAAAGACAUACCCCAAAUCCAAAAAAGCCAGAAAUCUGGCAUUUAGGUUUGGGGUAAAGAGGGGUAAAUGAGACCCGCGCUGCCAGAUUCCUAGGCUGGGAAAUCAAUGUACCUCGGGCUGCCUGGACGGGACGCCUUGUUAAAGGGCACAGGACGCACGUUGUUCCUUACCUGCUGCCUAAAUCCACAGCCACGGAUCGGAACCUCGCGCCACCCCACAGAGCUCGCACCUGUAGCUGGGUGAGCGUCCGAUCCCGCCCUGGCAGACGAGAGGGACCAUCGCAAAGCGGCCGAAGUCGGAGGCACGAGCAGCAAUGCCUGCAGGCCGCCAUGACACCCGGCACGCGAUCACCCCGGGCUGUACCCUGAUUGGCUCUCUCUGACGGUGGGGCGGAGUCUGAUGCAGUUUCGUUUCCGUGGUGCGGGGCUUGGGGAACUCCGGGGAAGCGGAUACCUUCGUCGCUUUCUACGAAGACUAGAGAGGGUCAAAACUAUCCGAACGCAAUUGUGACAACUUCUCUUUCCUGUUUAAGUACCUGCCAGUGAAAGGCAAUUGGAAAAUUAAUGCCUUUUGUGUAUGUGUGUGCUAUCGUAAUUUAAAAGAAAGUCCCAGAAUGAUGCAAAUGUUGAACAAGUAGAGUAAAUAUAGUAGUGAUAGAAGUCAUUAGACAAAAUAUUAUUAUUUGGCUUCUGUGAACUGAGAAUUAGAGGAGAAUUUGUGUAGUGGACCAUGGAAAGAGAUCUCUCUCUUCUCUCCUCUGCCUUGAUUUUUAUUUUAUAAAUUUCACACAAAUAGUACAGCAAAGGUUUAUGUUAAUUUAUUUCUAGUAAGUUAAUUUCACUUCUUAAUGACCUAUAUCAUCAUUUUAGAUCUUUGACAUCAUUUGUUAUUCAUCUUCCUCUCUAUUGUUAGUAUUCAGCAACUCAUUUCUCUGCCCCUUUUGAUCAAGUGUCGUUAUUUUUUAAACCAACUCUUAUUAAAUGCAAAAUGCCAGCUACUAUUUAAAAGAAAUGUUUUGGAAAAAUGAAGAAAAGUAGUUUUUGGAAUUUGAAUUGGAUAUAUUUUCAGGUAGUAAAUCUUUUAUAUCCCUUUUAAUCCUGUUAGAACAUCUUCAUAUGGUUCCUUGAAUGAAUCAAUGAUAAUUUUUUUUUAUUAUGAGGGUCCUAUUUCUCUUUUAAGAUCAUAACCUCCUUCAUUCAAAGAAAUCCAAACAACAAUAUCCAACAUACACUCAAACAUGGUUUUAAGAACUAAAAAUGUUGAACUUAAAACAGACAAAUGAUUUAGUAGCAAAGCAGUUCCCUGACACCUUGGUUUUCAUGAGAUAUUAAUACUUAUUUGGAAUGUCCAUGUCAAUAGAAGGAAUUAUUACUAACACUGCUAGGGAUACUUAGUAAUAAGUUUUUUUUCCCUCUUCCUCUACAUUUGACUUCACCGCCGUUACUACAGUGUUUUCUAGACCAAUCUAUUGAAAUCUGUACUAAUGACAAAUCUAUCAUAAUCUACUUGCCAUAAUACAACAUGGCUUUGGAUUUAUAAAGCACUUAAGUACUAUUUAAUCACUUCAAUCAGGUGGUAUUGCCUAAUAGUUCAGAGCAUAAACUUGAAGUUAGUCUUGAGUCGUCCCAAUCUUAGCUCUGCCCGUUUUCUAGUUGUCUGACCCUACCUCUCUAAGCCUGUUUCCUCAUUUGUAGAAAUGGAUACCAAUAUGAAUCUCAUAGGGUUUUUGUAAAGAUUAAAUGUGACAAAUGAUGUAAGAUGUUUAUCACAGUACCUGCCAACAUUGUCAGCCUCAAUAAAUGGCAGAUUCAGCUUUGACUAGACUUUUCUUAAUUUUCCCUCUAGUUUCCUGUUUGAAAUACUGAAAAUCCCUCUUUGCUGUAGAGCCCCAUGAAUCUGUUACGCUUUCAUCCCUCUGGAAAUACUGAGAAGCAGUAUUUACACAUUAAGUCCACUUAUUUCCUCACACCAACCCCAAAUAAUUGAUAUGGUAAUAAUUAUUUAAUAAAUUUAAAGGUGAUGUGCAUGUUGAAAUUUAUUAUUAGGUGGUCAUAAGGAUGAUCCAGACCUAUAUUAAGACCUAUAUUAUAUCCACACCUAUAUUAAGUGUGGUGUCUCUCUUAAUGUGGGACAAUGAUCAGUUGGAAGUCAGUGACGGGGUGUGAUAAAAGGAUUCACCCAAGCCAGAACCUGAGAGAUAGAAGUUUAGUGACUACACUGCAACAGCAGAAUGAGCAGGACAGCAAAGAAGAGACUGUCUGCAAAGAGGCAGUGGGUGGAGGCUGUUUUUAAAGGGGGAAGGUGAGGUGUGCAACUUAGGGAAUUUUCUCUUUUUUGGUGACUAUGCCUGGUUGUAAGUAGCCCAUUGGUUAUUAGGGCCAAUGGAUAUUUUUGUGUGGUUUGGCUGGUCAGCCUGUCUGUAUUCAGUGAGAGGUUGCUCCAGGCCCUUUCUACAUUCUGUUGCUCACCCUGUUUGCCUAAAAGCAGACUCUGCAUUAAGCAUUUUAAGAUUAACAGAGAAACAGAAGUAUAAAAAGUUUAAAUUCUUGUGGUUGUGUGAUAGGAAAACUGAAUGACUCCAUAAAAACAUGGCUUUUGCUCUUUCCCUGCUUCUGUUCUUGCUAGGAUGUGCACCUCCACUUUAUACAUGCCUCAGAAUGCAAAUAGUGUAUGUCUCCCUUGUAAAGGACAAAGAGUUAAUGAUUUCUUUAGAAUAGAUAACAUCCGAGGAAAGACCAGAUGAGAAUGACUGUUCAAAGCUAUCGUGUGCAUAUUUCAGACCAUUAACACUGGAUUUUUUUGAGGCCAAGACCCUCUGGGUCUAACGAAUACACCUGGGCCCUUAUCUUUAUUCUAACUGAUUCCUGGAUGCCCGAGAGUAUAUAUGUACAGCAGACCACAAUCCUCAAUAAAAACCCUGAACAGA